rnacentral:rRNA from 1 species
UACGAAGGGUGCUAGCGUUGUUCGGAAUCACUGGGCGUAAAGCGCGCGUAGGCGGCUUUCCAAGUCAGGGGUGAAAUCCCGGGGCUCAACCCCGGAAUUGCCUUUGAAACUGGAAAGCUUGAGUGUCGGAGGGGAUAGCGGAAUUGCUAAUGUAGAGGUGAAAUUCGUAGAUAUUAGCAGGAACACCGGUGGCGAAGGCGGCUAUCUGGACGACAACUGACGCUGAGGCGCGAAAGCGUGGGGAUCAAACAGG